GCGGAGGAAAAGAAAAUAACAAUGAUUUCCCCAGUAACGGCGAGUGAAGAGGAAAGAGCUCAAAGUUGGAACCUGCUUGGCUUAGCCAAGCCGGAUUGUAAACUGUAGAAGUGUUUUCCUGACACGCCAGGCAAAAAAGUCCUUUGGAACAGGGCAUCAUAGAGGGUGAGAAUCCCGUCUUUGGCCUGAGCAGUUGUCUUUUGCGAUACACUUUCAAAGAGUCAGGUUGUUUGGGAAUGCAGCCUAAAUUGGGUGGUAAAUCUCACCUAAAGCUAAAUAUUGGCGAGAGACCGAUAGCGAACAAGUACCGUGAGGGAAAGAUGAAAAGAACUUUGAAAAGAGAGUUAAACAGUAUGUGAAAUUGUUAAAAGGGAACCGUUUGGAGCCAGACUGGCUUGGCUGUAAUCAAUCUGGGCUUUUGCCCGGAUGCACUUGCGGCCUAUGCCUGCCAACGACAGUUUUAUUUGGGGGAAAAAACCAGGCGGAAUGUGGCCCCUUUGGGGGUGUUAUAGCCUCUUGGAAAAUACCCUGGAUUGGACUGAGGAUCGCAGCGAAUGCCAUUAGGCGAGAUUGCGGCGUGCUUUCGCUAAUAAAUGCUAGAAUUUCUGCUUCGGGUGGUGCUAGUGUUUAAAGGUGGAACCCGCGUUGUAUAUUUUUUAUUCGCUUAGGUUGUUGGCUUAAUGACUCUAAUGAC
rnacentral:rRNA from 1 species